CAUCUCUUCCUUUAGUCAGUGCAAGAGGUGUCUGUGUCUGAGGGAGCUGCUCUUCAUCCAAUCUGUGCUGGCUGUUGCAAAUACUUAGAAAGACAUUCCGUGUUCACAGAUUGGAAGAAUGAACAUUGCUAAACAGUCUGUACCUCUCAGAGUGACACACAGUUUCCACUAUCUCCAUCCAUUUUCCUAUGACACAUUUUUGCACAAAUAAGUAACACAUUCCUUACAUUCCUGUGAAAUUUACAACAUUUUCUACCUGACAAUAGUCUAUCAGUAAGUGAAGUUCACCUUGAAUAGCAACCUAGAAUGGUGAUCCCAGACGUAAUCUUAAAAUCAAGAAUCAUCUCAGAUGUCAACAAAAAUACUGUUUGAAAAACUCCACUCCUUGUUGGUUGAUAUUGAGGAAAGCAGAGUGGGCUCUCCAGGGAUUAGUAUUUCAUAAGGCAAUAAUUCCCAGGAGAUUCUAGUUGGUAGCCAAGUUUGAGGAUCACACCUGGGAAAAACAUUCUUGGAAGAAGUACAGGGAUACAUACUAUGUUUAUUAAGGGCAUGUUUUAGUAAAUAAUUUAAAGCCAUCAAAAUGUGUGUCAUUUACUUUGUGCAUAAAGUAACCUGUGGCAUUUCCAUAGAACAAUACCAUUAAGCCAAAAGAAACAAAAGAGAUUUAUAUAUAGCGAAGUGGACACAUUGAAAAUACCUCAAACAAAGCAGCAAGGCAAUUACUUUCUGUAAAGCUCAUUAAAACCUAUGAAAACUAAACCUACAGAUAACAAUGCUGUUUUACAGUGCAUAUGCAUAUGGUGAUUUUUUUUAUAUAAAAAGACACAAAAGGUGAGUUGAUACCUUAGCCAGAUAAAUAGAGAAUCGAUAUAAGCAUCGAGGCUAUCAGAAUCCUAAUGUAAAAUAUUGAUAGUUUGCCAAAAGAAUAGAUAAAACCCUCAAUUCUGCAUAUCAAGUUAAGAACAGGAAUCACCAGCUGAUAGGUGAACUCUGAGGAAAAUAAUUUUGAUGAACUUGUUGGGACAGAAAUCCAAAUUUAGGAGAUAAUCUAACAUAAGACUACCUUCCUUUGUGGAUAUCAUCAGAAAGAAUGUUAGCUGCAUAAGAAAUCAAAGAGGCAGGGUGCCAAGAAGGGUCUAGAGAGAAAGCUUUUCUGUGGGAUUAUUGAACCAAUGAUAGAAGGAAUGAAAUCUGUGGAAAGGGACAACUGAGGUCAUGGAAUUGUUCUUUAAAAGAAACCCCUGAAGGUAGGGGAAGGGGAGGCAGAAAGCCACAGUAACACUCAAUGGGCUUCUUCAGGUCACCUGGGAUAUGCACUGUGAGUGUGAGUCAUCCCUCCUUUUGUUUUACAACAAAGGAAUGGAUCACUAAGAAACAUGCUAAGCUAUGGGUUCCACACUCUCAUCCUUGUGGAUUCUUAUGGACCUGAGUGAGUCUUGGGAAUGUGUAUUUUAACAAGCAGUGAUGUAAUUAAGCUGGUUGAGAAUGGGAGCUACACCUCUGACCUAAAUGUCUCAAGAAGCUGCUGCUGAUGGAUCAGUGAGGGUCCACCCAUUGCAGCAGGUCCUCUCAGCGAGAAGCAGGGACACAGAGCUGAUGGUACCUGGAGAAGGAUGGACACUUUCUACUGGCUGGCCCUAUGUGACAUGGGGCUAAGACAGAGAGAGGUUUGGGAAGGGAGAAGUAUUAGGACAACUACUAAUCUGAGAAAAGCCCCUAUUCCGUGUCACCCACAUGUGCUGUAUGUCUGCUAAAAUCCCAUUUUCCUCUACAUCCCCCUGCCCCAAUAUCCCAGCUGCCCAGCAAAUCAUGGGUUCAUUCUUCAGGAAUCACUUCAAGAAUCAUGUUCAGGACCAUCUCAGAGAUCUGUACUUUCUCUUUCAGUGUGUUCAGUGCAUCAUGAUUAUGUCUGCCUCUGCCCCGGAUACAACCUUGCGUCUGCCUCUAGUUUAGCAGCUUUGAUAUCACAGUGCAGAUUCUCCAAUAAGCAACCACUGGCUUACUAACAAGGUAAUAAACUGAGUGAUAUUCAGAAAUAA